CAUGUGAACAAGAGUUGCCCGGAGCAGAAGUUUUAGAAACUUCUGAGGAGAAGAAUCUUCACAGCGAAGAAAAGAAAGAGCAUGCCAUGCUGCUUUGAUGUUCAAGACUAAUGAUCUUCUUGCACGGUUAUCUUGCAACCAUCCUAUGUAUGGAAGGGCUUGCUAUUGCAUAUGCCCUGCAGACUCAGAAGUAUCUGAGGGGGGUUGCUGGAUGCAUCACCCUUCCAUUGCCCGAAGGAAAGGAGUGGGCUGUUUGCUGUGUUACCGGAUAGGGUGCUGCAAGGUUGGGCAAGAGAUGCCCUGAGUUUGUAUGGCAAGAUGACUUGAAAAAAGGUGAUGAUUUUGUCUUUGAGCUGAUCGGAACGAGAUAUGUGGUUCUGAAAAGUUACCAUUUUUUGAGUUCUUGAAUUUGCUUGAGCACCAGCUAUGAAACCCUGAAGUAGAAUAUUCAACAAACCAAUAUAAUCUAUAAUCUCGUGGUUUAUAA